rnacentral:lncRNA from 1 species
GCCGUGGCCCAGUGGAUAGGGCGUCCGCCUCGGCAUCGGGAGGUAGGUGGUUCGAAACCUGCCGCCGGACACCCACCGGUUAAAAGGGCAGGGCGUCCCCCCAACCCGGCGCCCGGUUGUGCACGGGGUGCGUGAACGCCUGGGGAGGUCCGUAGCCGCCGAGUCGCGGCCGCAGCUGAUUUCGUACGCUCAAACC